UUGAUAUUUUAUUAAUUUAUAAGCAACAGAAAAGGGACUCACAUGUUGGUGUUCCACUGCUGCUAAAGUCCAACACUAACUUUAAACAGGAGUCCAAGUUGUAACAUGUAGUCCUGUAAUGCUGUUGCAGUUCUUCAGAC